rnacentral:rRNA from 1 species
GAUCCUGGCUCAGGACGAACGCUGGCGGCGUGCCUAACACAUGCAAGUCGAGCGGAGACAGUGAGUAGCUUGCUAUGAGCUGUUUUAGCGGCGGACGGGUGAGUAACGCGUGAGCAACCUUUCCCAGACAGGGGAAUAACACACCGAAAGGUGUACUAAUACCGCAUAAGACCACGGAAUCACAUGGUUCUGGGGUAAAAGAAUUAUCGGUUUGGGGUGGGCUCGCGUCCGAUUAGGUAGUUGGUGAGGUACGG